GCAUCGGUGGUGUAUGCACACACGUCGGCUUCUUGAGGCUUUGGAAAGGAAAGAAGACACUCGUGACGAGCCCGGGGUUCGACUCCCCGUCGAUGCA